rnacentral:misc_RNA from 1 species
AGGAAAAUAUUCUUUAUUUUCCACUCUUUAUUUUCCUUUCACCCUAAAAAAUUUCCCAAACAGAAUGUUAAGGUGGUAACCAAAGUUUCCACUUGAUGGGUAUGGACUUCUCUCUUUGUUGGAUACCUCGUCAAGCAAACAACAUUGCUCAUCAGUUAGCUAGAUCCUCUAAGUCUUUGAUUGUAAUGUGAUUUGGUCAGAGCCUUUUUUUGCUCUGCGUUCUUGGAUAGUUUCAGAUAAUGCUUUUUAGUAACGAAGUUUUCUUAUUUUAAAAAAAAAACGAAAAAGUUCCUACUUGAUAUAAGCAUCAAAGACAACAAAAUAGCACAAAUCAAAGUAUCGGAAAAAUAAAUUUCAAGAAGAGAAUGUCAUGCUUACAUCAUCUUUAAGGCUAUCACCAACCAUCAUGACUUCAUUAGGCUGAAAUUCCCAAGUUGAACAGAUAUGCAGGAGAGGAGCUGGGUCUGGUUUACAAGGACGGAACUCCCUGCUUAAUGCUGGAGAAAACAU